UUCGCAAUGCCCGAAAGGGUGACGAAGCGACGCCGCGUGCGGGAAGAAGGCCUUCGGGUUGUAAACCGCUGUCGGGAGUUAAGAAAUGCAAGGGUGUUAACAGCGUCCUUGCUUGACUAAGGCUCCGGAGGAAGCCACGGCUAACUCUGUGCCAGCAGCCGCGGUAAUACAGAGGCGGCAAGCGUUGUUCGGAAUUAUUGGGCGUAAAGAGCACGUAGGCGGCUGUGUAAGUCGGUUGUGAAAGCCUUCCGCUCAACGGGAGAACGGCAUCCGAUACUGCAUGGCUUGAGUGCGGGAGGGGAGAGUGGAACUUCUGGUGGAGCGGUGAAAUGCGUAGAUAUCAGAAGGAACGCCGGCGGCGAAAGCGACUCUCUGGCCCGAAACUGACGCUGAGUGUGCGAAAGCUAGGGGAGCAAACGGGAUUAGAUACCCCGGUAGUCCUAACUGUAAACGAUGGGCACUAAGUAGAGGGGUUUU
rnacentral:rRNA from 1 species